UGUCUGAUUUGUAAAUUAAUACGAUUCAUCAUGGCCGCGACCAUGUGCAGCGGUCUUCGCACUUGUAUCAAACUGUUUUCUAGGAAAAACUCAUUUAUACAGACAUUAUUGUGUGUAAAUUCAAGUACACAUGGUUUCAAAACAGUCAAACUUCACAAUGACAAACGGAUGAAAGAACAGGAUCAAAAUGAAGCAGACAAUCAGCAGAACUUGACUACCAAAUCAAACAAGCUAGGUCAAAGAGAUGAAACUCAGUUUCAAAGACAGCAAACGUGGCGAAGAAGCCUUAGUUAUAAAAAGUCAUAUUGGUCAAUGAUUGAGAGCAGCAGAAAGACUGCAAAUAGAUAUAAUGCAAUUUCUGAAACAGAACUACAGAAAGUAGAUGAUGAGAUACGGAAACAUUUAUUAGUAACCUAUAUAAACAAGCAGUCUGUGAUAUUACAAAGCAAAAAUAAAGAAGGACAGCAUUGGCUGAAUAAGCAAAAGAGAUUUACUGGCUUUUUAAAUGUUGGUAGAAGUCCUUUUCGUAUUCAUGACCAUCUGAAGGAUGUAGAAAGCGUAGAUGAACAGCUGCUACACUUAGAUACUAUACUGAAGCAAGGAAAUCAUCAUCAGAUUGUCUACUUCAUGGUCUACAAUGAGAUCGUGGAGAAACUGAGGAAAACUCUGCCAGACAUUCCUAUUGGUAUACACGGUUCAUCUGUCACCAAGCUUGGAUGUAAGGGUGGAGAUUUGGAUAUUGUGGUAUCAUCUGAUCAGAAAACAUUUCAAAAGAUUAGGCAAAAACUGAGAAAAGUUGUAUCACUUGAUUUAUUAAGUUCUAUUCCCUACGCCAGUGUACCAAUCAUAAAGGUUCGUCAUAUCCCCUCAAACAUCAUCUGUGACAUAUCAGUUACUAGGAUUUUAAAACAAAGUAGAAAUAAUCCAGUGAUCAACUCGGAGAUACUGUAUACCAUGAGCACAUUGGACGAACGAUUCUGCUCUCUUGUGCGCAUCAUCAAAUGUUGGGCUGCCUAUCAGGGUCUAUGUAGAGAAGGACCUAACCCGUUACCUCAUGGCAUCACCUGGACAAUGCUGACUCUCUUCUAUUUACAACAGAAAAAAAUGCUUCCGGCUGCCAAGCAUCUGUAUGAACCAUGGUAUCUCCGUAAACAAUCGAGAGAUACAACAGAAGAUUGCUCAACUGGCAUUCUAUCCUGUCCAGAUAAGGAAAAAAUUAGAAAGUUUCCAGACCUUGCAAAAGAGUUGGUUGUAAAUGAUGAAUCGCUAGUUGACUUGCUGAAAGGAUUCUGUGAUUAUUACUCAGAGUUUAGCUUCAGUAAUAACUGGAUUUCAGUAUAUGAUGGCAAACACUACCUGAGAUCGUCCGACUUUAGUAGAUCUCACAGUGCCAUGGUGAUUCCUCUGGAAUUCGAAGAAUGUUCAAACAAGAAUGUGUCAAAAAAUGUGAAUUCUUUAGUGAUAAAAAGAAUGAGGACUGAGUUGAGGAAAUUAUGUGAAGCUAUAGAUAGAAACGAAUUUGUAUCAGUAUUUGAAACACCAACUACACCAACAAGACCAAGAAAUAUCAGAAAACACAACUUGAAAGCAAAAAAUGCAGCACUUCAAGACAUAAUGUUUUUAAAAUGAGAGUUCUAUUUUAUAAAUUAAUAGGAGUCAAAAUCUGUGAUGGAAAGAGUUUAUAACUAUAGUACGAGGAGUCCAUAUUUAUAGUAUGUGGUGUCCAUAUCGUUAGUAUGAGGAGUCCAUAUCUAUAGUACGAGGAGGCCAUAUCUAUAGUACGAGGAGGCCAUAUCUAUAGUAUGAGGAGUCCAUAUCUAUAGUACAAGGAGUCCAUGUCUAUAGUAUGAGGAGUCCAUAUCUAUAGUACGAGGAGGCCAUAUCUAUAGUACGAGGAGGCCAUAUCUAUAGUAUGAGGAGUCCAUAUCUAUAGUACGAGGAGUCCAUAUCUAUAGUAUGAGGAGUCCAUAUCUAUAGUACAAGGAGUCCAUGUCUAUAGUAUGAGGAGUCCAUAUCUAUAGUAUGAGGAGGCCAUAUCUAUAGUACGAGGAGUCCAUAUCUAUAGUACAAGGAGUCCAUAUCUAUAGUAUGAGGAGUCCAUAUCUAUAGUACGAGGAGGCCAUAUCUAUAGUACGAGGAGUCCAUAUCUAUAGUAUGAGGAGUCCAUAUCUAUAGUAUGAGGAGUCCAUAUCUAUAGUACAAGGAGUCCAUAUCUAUAGUAUGUGGAGUCCAUAUCUAUAGUACAAGGAGUCCAUAUCUAUAUUAUGAGGAGUCCAUAUCUAUAGUAUGAGGAGUCAUAUCUAUAUUAUGAGGAGUCCAUAUCUGUAGUAUGAGGUGUCCAUAUCUAUACUAUGAGGAGUCCAUGUCUAUAGUCCUUAUGACUAUUAGUAUGAGGAGUCCAUAUCUAUAGUAUGAGGAGUCCAUAUCUAUAGUACGAGGAGUCCAUAUCUAUAGUAUGAGGAGUUUAUAUCUAUUCCUAUGAGGAGUCCUUGUUGGAGUGAAGGCUAUGUGUACAUGUAAAUGUUUAAUAGUGAAUUUGUUUAUGUGAGCGUUGUGCAGUGUUACCAUGAUGGUAUAUGUAAAACAAUUCAAAAUCAACUUUUACAAACGGUACGGUAUUGUAUCUUACAAACGGUAUGGUAUUGUAUCUUACAAACGGUACGCUAUUGUAUCUUACAAACGGUACGCUAUUGUAUCUUACAAACGGUAUGGUAUUGUAUCUUACAAACAGUACCGUAUUGUAUCUUACAAACGGUAUGGUAUUGUAUCUUACAAACGGUACGCUAUUGUAUCUUACAAACGGUACGCUAUUGUAUCUUACAAACGGUAUGGUAUUGUAUCUUACAAACAGUACCGUAUUGUAGCUUACAAACAGUACGGUAUUGUAGCUUACAAACGGUACGGUAUUGUAGCUUACAAACGGUACGGUAUUGUAUCUUACAAACAGUACCGUAUUGUAGCUUACAAACAGUACCGUAUUGUAGCUUACAAACGGUACGGUAUCGUAGCUUACAAACGGUACGGUAUUGUAGCUUACAAACGGUACGGUAUUGUAGCUGACAAACGGUGUAGUAUUGUAGCUUACAAACGGUACCGUAUUGUAGCUUACAAACGGUACGGUAUUGUAGCUUACAAACAGUACCGUAUUGUAGCUUACAAACAGUACCGUAUUGUAGCUUACAAACGGUACGGUAUUUAGCUUACAAACGGUACGGUAUUUUAUCUUACAAACGGUUCGGUAUUGUAGCUUACAAACGGUACGGUAUUGUAACUUACAAACUGUAUGGUAUUGUAGCUUACAAACGGUACGGUAUUGUAGCUUACAAACGGUGUGGUAUUGUAGCUUACAAACGGUGUGGUAUUGUAGCUUACAAACGGUACGGUAUUGUAGCUGACAAACGGUGUGGUAUUGUAGCUUACAAACGGUACGGUAUUGUAGCUUACAAACGGUACGGUAUUGUAGCUUACAAACGGUACGGUAUUGUAACUUACAAACGGUACGGUAUUGUAGCUGACAAACGGUGUAGUAUUGUAGCUUACAAACGGUACGGUAUUGUAGCUUACAAACGGUACGGUAUUGUAAUUUACAAACGGUACGGUAUUGUAGCUUACAAACGGUGUAGUAUUGUAGCUUACAAACAGUACCGUAUUGUAGCUUACAAACGGUACGGUAGUGUAGCUUACAAACGGUAUGGUAUUGUAUCUUACAAACGGUAGGGUAUUGUAUCUUACAAACGGUACGGUAUUGUAUCUUACAAACGGUACGGUAUUGUAGCUUACAAACUGUAUGGUAUUGUAGCUUACAAACGGUAUGGUAUUGUAGCUUACAAACGGUACGGUAUUGUAGCUUACAAACGGUACGGUAUUGUAGCUGACAAACGGUGUAGUAUUGUAGCUUACAAACGGUACGGUAUUGUAGCUUACAAACGGUACGGUAUUGUAGCUUACAAACGGUACGGUAUUGU